AAGGAACUAACAGGAUUCCCUGAGUAGCGGCGAGCGAAAGGGGAAAAGCCCAGCGCUGAAGCCCCUGCUUUUUCACAGAGCAGCGGGCAAUGUAGCGUACGGGAGCGGUCUUCUUCCGUCGAGCUGCGGGAGCCCAAGUCCCCCUGACUGGGGCCAUCGCCCAUGGCGGGUGCAAGGCCCCUGUGGCUCCUGUCAAGCUUGGCGGUCGGCCGUCUCUCAGGAGUCGGGUUGCUUGAAAGUGCAGCCCUAAGUUGGUGGUAAACUCCAUCUAAGGCUAAAUACAUCCACGAGACCGAUAGCAAACAAGUACCGUGAGGGAAAGUUGAAAUAGAACUUUGGAGAGAGAGUUCAAGAGUACGUGAAACCGCUCAGAGGCAAACGGGUGGGCCCUCGAAGGUCGAACAGGGGGAUUCAACCCGUCGCCAUUGGGAGUGAAAUUAGUGUGGUUGUCUAAUCGAGCACGGUGGGCAAUCGCGCGAAAUCGCGGACCAAAAUCCUUCCGUGCACUACGGCUUACGAAAUUCGAUCCUCGUUCUCGGGGACUUCGAAAAAACGGAUCCAAAAGGCCCUACCCAGGGUACUAGUGACCGGACCGUAGCUUGUGCGACGGAUGGCGGCGGGCGCACUUCCCCCUCAGUAGGACGCCGCGACCGGUCGGGACAAUAUAAAAAGUAGCAGCAAUGCGGCGGGGAUUCAAACCGAGGUGCAGGUAUCUGUUGCCGGUAGGUCCACCCCUUAACUGGGGUUUCGUGUGGCCCCGGUCGGAGUUAUAGCCCUCGCCCCGCCGAACGCACUGCCUCCCGACCGAACAAUAAUGUCUCGAGACUGACGACGCGUGCCCGCGUGUAAAAGCGCUCGCCAUCGUCUGGGCAGGCUGGGCUUCAUUGCUGGCGGACGCCACGAACGUGGCGGUCGUUCUGGCUUUGGGCCUGCCGCUAAUGCCUGAUGACGUGAUCUGGCGUGUGGCAUAGCUCGCGGUCGGCGGCGAGUAGUCGGUAACCCACCCGACCCGUCUUGAAACACGGACCAAGGAGUCUAACAUGUGCGCGAGUCGUAGGGCUCUGCAAAACCCGAAGGCGCAAUGAAAGUGAAAGGCGCGCGUUGAGCUGCAGUGUUACGGGGCCCCCUCGUGGGCCUUAGUGCCUGCCUCUCGCGUGACCAAGGCGGGAUCCCCUCUGGAGAGUGUCGGUUAAUGGCUAUCGUGCUUCAAACGGGCCACCGACUAUCAAAUCUCCAGAUAUAAAAAUACCGGGUGUUGAACUAUAACCCGGGGGGGCGCACCGCCGGCCCGUCUCGACUGUGCUUUGAAAAACGUGGGUCUUUCUCGCUCUCGUUCCCGGUAAAACGGGUCGUUUGCGAGUUGCCCAGUCCGUUUCCUAGCAAACCAGUGAGGCGGAGCAAGAGCGCACACGUUGGGACCCGAAAGAUGGUGAACUAUGCCCGGGCAGGACGAAGUCAGAGGAAACUCUGGUGGAGGUCCGUAGCGAUUCUGACGUGCAAAUCGAUCGUCGGACCUGGGUAUAGGGGCGAAAGACUAAUCGAACCAUCUAGUAGCUGGUUCCCUCCGAAGUUUCCCUCAGGAUAGCUGGUGCUCAUGGAAACAGUCUCAUGCGGUAAAGCGAAUGAUUAGAGGCCUUGGGGUCGAAACGACCUCAACCUAUUCUCAAACUUUCAAUGAGUGAGACGUCUGGCUUUCUUAAACGAAGCCCAGACUUUGGAUGUGAGCACCCAGUGGGCCACUUUUGGUAAGCAGAACUGGCGCUGUGGGAUGAACCAAACGCCGGGUUAAGGCGCCCGAUGCGAACGCUUAUCAGACCCCAUGAAAGGUGUUGGUGCUAUGACAGC
rnacentral:rRNA from 1 species